rnacentral:rRNA from 1 species
UCUGGUGACGAUGGCGAAGUGGUCACACCUGUUCCCAUCCCGAACACAGAAGUUAAGCACUUCAGCGGCGACGAUAGCAUGGCUUGCCCAUGUGAAAAUAGCGCGUUGCCAGGU